rnacentral:rRNA from 1 species
UACGUAGGGUGCGAGCGUUGUCCGGAAUUAUUGGGCGUAAAGAGCUUGUAGGCGGUUUGUCGCGUCUGCCGUGAAAAUCCGGGGCUCAACCCCGGACUUGCGGUGGGUACGGGCAGACUAGAGUGUGGUAGGGGAGACUGGAAUUCCUGGUGUAGCGGUGAAAUGCGCAGAUAUCAGGAGGAACACCGAUGGCGAAGGCAGGUCUCUGGGCCACUACUGACGCUGAGAAGCGAAAACGUGGGGAGCGAACAGG